rnacentral:rRNA from 1 species
AGAGUUAAAGCCCUUCGGGGCGCUUGAGGAUGAGCUUGCGUCCUAUUAGCUAGUUGGUAGGGUAAUGGCCUACCAAGGUAAUGAUGGGUAGCCGGCCUGAGAGGGUGUCCGGCCACACUGGAACUGGGACACGGUCCAGACUCCUACGGGAGGCAGCAGGGAGGAAUUUUGCGCAAUGGGCGAAAGCCUGACGCAGCGACGCCGCGUGGAGGAUGACGGCCUUCGGGUUGUAAACUCCUGUCAGAGGUGAAGAAAACCCCCUUCGGGGGGGCUUGACGGUAACCUCAGAGGAAGCCCCGGCUAACUACGUG